rnacentral:rRNA from 1 species
AAUUCGAUUAGAGUUUGAUCCUGGCUCAGAACGAACGCUGGCGGCAGGCCUAACACAUGCAAGUCGAGCGAGACCUUCGGGUCUAGCGGCGGACGGGUUAGUAACGCGUGGGAACGUGCCCUUUACUACGGAAUAGUCCCGGGAAACUGGGUUUAAUACCGUAUACGCCCUUCGGGGGAAAGAUUUAUCGGUAAAGGAUCGGCCCGCGUUAGAUUAGAUAGUUGGUGGGGUAAUGGCCUACCAAGUCUACGAUCUAUAGCUGGUUUGAGAGGAUGAUCAGCAACACUGGGACUGAGACACGGCCCAGACUCCUACGGGAGGCAGCAGUGGGGAAUCUUAGACAAUGGGCGCAAGCCUGAUCUAGCCAUGCCGCGUGAGUGACGAAGGCCUUAGGGUCGUAAAGCUCUUUCGCCAGGGAUGAUAAUGACAGUACCUGGUAAAGAAACCCCGGCUAACUCCGUGCCAGCAGCCGCGGUAAUACGGAGGGGGUUAGCGUUGUUCGGAAUUACUGGGCGUAAAGCGCACGUAGGCGGACUGGAAAGUUGGGGGUGAAAUCCCGGGGCUCAACCUCGGAACUGCCUCCAAAACUACUAGUCUAGAGUUCGAGAGAGGUGAGUGGAAUUCCGAGUGUAGAGGUGAAAUUCGUAGAUAUUCGGAGGAACACCAGUGGCGAAGGCGGCUCACUGGCUCGAUACUGACGCUGAGGUGCGAAAGUGUGGGGAGCAAACAGGAUUAGAUACCCUGGUAGUCCACACCGUAAACGAUGAAUGCCAGUCGUCG